GACAGAGGGUGCAAACGUUGUUCGGAAUUACUGGGCGUAAAGCGCGUGUAGGCUGCUCCGCAAGUCGGAUGUGAAAGCCCUGGGCUCAACCUAGGAAGUGCAUUCGAAACUUCGGAGCUGGAGUCCUGGAGAGGAAGGCGGAAUUCUCGGUGUAGAGGUGAAAUUCGUAGAUAUCGAGAGGAACACCGGUGGCGAAGGCGGCCUUCUGGACAGUUGCUGACACUGAGGCGCGACAGCGUGGGGAGCAAACAGG
rnacentral:rRNA from 1 species